CGUGUGACCAGACACCUUCACUUUGGUGUUUUUUUAUCUUUUUGUUACUUGGUUAUGUGCGUGCUUUUUAAGCCAGUUGUGGAAAUGAUUCCGGUUUUUUGUUUUUAGUGUAAAGGCUUUGAUGUUAUCUUUAUUCGUGAUGAAGGCCUGGACCAAAAACGCAGCUAUCGAGGAAUCACCGUAGAUCUGAUAUGUUUGCCUUGCUGCCAAAAAUCUUUUCUAAUUGAGAUUCGUAGUCGUUGAAAUUUCUCUUCAUUAUAUCCAUACAGGGUCCCAAAAGUCGUUCAAAUGCUCCAACAUCGAGAACUGAUAGAGUUAAAUAUCACAAAAAAUGUGUAAAAGAAAAGAUUCAAAGUCUAAUGGACUCGAAGCUUUACAAUCAAGGAUAAAACACCAUAUGUUCGGUUCUCAUGCAAAAAGCUCUUAAAAUGGUGAAAGUUAAUGUUGACAAUGUCAAUGCUUAAUUUGCUAUUAUAAAAGCUGAUAAACCCACUAGUCAGAAAAGGUCGAAAAUUGCUUUCCAAAUAAUUUUGACAUUUUCAAUGGUUCCUCGUUACACAAUGGAUGGAUUAAAAGGGGUAACAAGAAUGGAUACUUACAAGCAACUUUAACGUCAUCAACGGCUCGAACGGAUGCCGCUCUAGGUUUCAGAAAAUAGAUAAAAAUGAUUUAAAAAGGAUACUUGGCUUGGAAUGAGGAAUUUCAAAGAAAAACUAAAGAAUUUCAAGGAUAAUUUUCUUGUCACUUUACCUCAUCAAUUUUUGUAAUCACCACCGUUCCAUUUUCAACAAAAUACAUUCCAUCAGCCUGAUCUCCCUGUAAAAAAAAAGAUGAGUCAGUCAUUUUGAAUGAUUCAACAAUUGUCAUUUUUUCAAGUUGCCUUUUUUCUGAGGUCUAAUUGUUCAUAGAAAGCCUCAUGUAUCAAAUAGUGUGACUUACCAUUGCCCAAAGUGAUCCUUCGGUUUUGGCCUCAACGGAUGCUGACCUUGGCAUAUUAUACAUAAGUGCAAGCUCACCAAAGCUUCCUGAAUCUGUGUAUUCACCAAGUUCAAUGCGUUUCCCAUCAUUUGUACAGUAAAAUCUGAAAGUUCCUCUGAGAAAUGCAAAUGUAAAAAAAGGUGACAACAGUUAAGAACAGUUUAGCAUACAAAUUAUUUAUAGUUUACAAUGUAUACCCAGUAUAAUCAAAUGUUUCACCAAAAAAGCAUUAAUCAAGUAAACCUUGAAGAUUUUAUCAAGACUCGUUAAGCCUGGAUUUUGCCUGACUAGAUUGAUCUAAAAAUUUAACAAAUUUGAGUCUUUAAAUAGCAUAUCCAUCAGCUUAGAUGCGCAUUAAACAGAUUGCGUGAUAAUGUACAAGUGAAAAAUUCAAAAGCAACCUCAGCCAUCACCAGAAAGGGAAAAAAGUAAACCUAGUAAGUGGAAAUUAGACUGAAAUUAAGGAAGCAUUUUGCACGCUUUCAGAUUUUACUCUAAUACCUUUUAUAAAUAGAUACAUGUAUUAUGUGAGAUGUGAAAAGGACAAGAAUCAAUUGUUUUUUCGCUGUUAGAUAAUGAUGGACAGUAAAAAUGGCUGUAAAAAAUGUUUGAUAAUGCAAUUGUAGCCAGAACAGGAUAAAAGGUUAUUUUAUCAAGUCAAUGGGAAUCCAUUUUACUCAUCUUUACCUUCAACUCAAUAUAUAAAUUGAUUUAAAGAUUGUUCAAAGGCUCCAUAAUCAAAGGGAAUAAACAUUAUCUGACAAGACCAGUGAACAAAAUGAGAGCAAUUUUCGAUGGAAUGUUUACCCUCAUUGGACUCUUACGAGUAAAAAGGAUUCAGAUUGGAACCAAGUUGGCAAUGUAAAUGAAAAACGUCGAUGAAAUAGGAAGAGUGGAAGAAUAAAAAUGAUGAUGAUCAUUAUUAUCAUCAGCUCCAUGUAGCUCAUUUAGACUUUUUCAAAUUGACUCUCCAAGGUAUUAUAAAUUAAUCAAGCUUAAAGUGUAGCUGUGUGUCAAACGAGUGAUAAAAAAAAUCUUGUCUAUUUCAAUUAUGAUCAACAAUUGAAAGAGAAAUAAUAUUGAAUACUUAAUAAGCAAAUUAUUUCUUUAUGUGUAGGUUUUUCAUCAGAGAAAAAGUUUUUUUUCCUUCUCUCUAUCGACUGUUAGUCAGCUUUUCAAUUAAUUGAGCUUUCUUUACCUGUAAAUAUCUUAAAGUAAAAUCUCUAUCAGACUGACUGAGAAAAGAAUCAAAGAAAUGGGAAAUUUGAAAACGAAGAAAAAAGAGUUUUUCUUUUCGUAAAAGCGCAACACCAAGGAGAUGAUUAUUGAAGAUUCAAGAAUAAUCCUCUUAAGGAAAAGUAUGAAGGAUGAAAAAUGAACAAUAAGUUUAAAGUUGGAAGGACAAUACUAUUGGAAACAAUAUACCAUAACAUGAUUAUGUUGUAUCAAUAAUUACAUUGAAAAUGUAUCAAAAGCAUUCACAAAUCAUCACCAUAUUACUGCAAGAAUUGAUGCCAUGGUAAAUGAAGUCAGAAUUGUGAACCAAUUGUUCCAACGGAUUUAUAUGCAGGAUUAACCAUUCUCAUCACAUUUGAUCUUUUCAGAUCCAGUUUUGGAUUCUGGUGGCUUCGGAUACUUUACCAAGACUGAGUUUGAAGAUAUAAUUUGAUUGAACAAUGUUUAGCUGGAUUACAUUCAAGUAUACUUGUAAUACAAAAUUGUUAUCUUCUACCCAACAACAACAGGAGAGGAAGAACCCAAAAGACAACAACAUUGUGUUCUGGCUGUUGAAAUGAUUACUUCAAUUGGUUAUCCUGGUGUAAUAUCCAUGGAUACACACUUGGAAUUUUACAUUACAAUGGAAACGAGGAAGAGUAAAAAAAGCCAUGAGAUGAAUGAUAUGCUGAAAGUUUCAAAUUGAGUAAAAAAAAGCUUCAAAUCAUUCUGAAUGGAAUUAACAACUCACUUCUUUCAAAGCCACAACUCCAUCAAAGGACAAUCCCAAAGGACAAUCAACAUGUAAAGGAUAAUUUUAUAAGAACUGAAUCAAGUAACAAAACUAAUUGACCAGAAUAACUCACGGCUCAAAAAUAUACAUUGGAAUCUUCCCUCUUAAAGCAUGGCAAAACUGAUCUAAGAUAAUCUUUAUCUCAAUCUCAACAGCAAUUGCAGGAUUAUCAUGGUUCUUGAAUUUGUUGGAUUCCAAGCCUCUUUCAAGCUACAAUUAGAAACUUAGUCUUGAGUUUUCAUUUUGAUUCAACUGCCAGUGAAAGUUUCAUAAUCCCUUCUCCUCUAAUUAUAUCAUUACUUGUCCUCCCUGUUGACCUACAAAUUAAUCAAAUGGCAAUCCACCCAAGCGAAAGGUUGUAGGGUUAUUGGACAAAGUGUAUCAACCUAACCAGACUCAGGAAAGAAGCAAAAAUUAGUUUGAUUUCCCUUAAGAGUCCUUUCUACUUUUAUUCCAAGACUGAAACCAAGACAAUAUCCUUAUUCAGUAUUAAAGCCGUAUGAUUUCACCGUCAGACUCACAAUUCAUGGAAGGUACCAAGAAAAAUGUAACAAAUCUAUUUGGUGGAUCCUCUCUUUUUUAUACCAGUUUACUUUUUGUCUUCUUUGAAACUCUUCCAACCAUUGAAAUCCAACAUGGAAGCUUAUUUCCUUUUCCCAUGUAAUAUUUUCUUCUCCUUCUUCUCGGUGUGUCCAACAAAAGGAGUUGAAUGAAAAGAUAUUGGAAACCAGGAGAAACCACAUGAACAUAAAACUAAGAAGCUAACCUAAUUUAGACUCAGGAGACUUUUACAGGUCUCCAAUUUAUCUUACAAUUUAUCUUUCUUUUGUGCCUUUACUCCACCAUGGAAAGAUGUUACACUGUUUCUGUGGAAUCGAAACUCUGUUUAAGUCUUCAAAUGUCAACCUUCCUUCCUCUAAUUAACUGUCAACUGACAUAAUUCUUAAACUUAAUUGUACUGGAUAAAUGAAUGGAUGGAUUGAACUAUCAAAUAAUCCAAACCAACCUACCAAUAAGAGACAAUUUAUAAACACCAUUUUCUGCUCAUCUAAUUAAUUACAAUUAUAAAAUUAUGUAUCAAUAUCAAAUAACCAAACCUGAAGGAUGAACACAAAGAUUAACAACAAAGAGGAAGACACAAUUCAACUAACGAAGAACAUCAAGAAAUGCUGGAUAAUCAAUUCAAUAACCUUUCCAUCUCCAAAGAUCUUUUCAUCUUCUAAUCAAACCAGUGACAAUCAAAAGCAUUCCCAUUAAUCUUCAAGCCAAUUGGAUUCUCAAUCAACCUAUGAAGAGAUCAACAUACAAAUGUAACCUGAUAAGUCAUUCAACACGAGCUAAAGACAGCUUCAAAGGGUUGAUUUAAAUUACAAUUCAAGGAAAAGAAAGAUUUCUUAAAAUGUAAAAUCUAUUAGAGGAUGGAUUCAGUGUUGAUUAGAUUUAUCAAUUUACAAUAAUAUAAAAAUACGAUUGGAUUCAUCUGGAAAAGAGCACUUAGCGAAAGGCAUUUGAUUGUUUCUUCAUUCAACUUCAAGCAAAGCCCAGCCAAACUUAAUUUGCUGGAAAUUUCAUUCUUCCCAUGAAUCUAUUUUUUUAACUCAGUGAAUCCCAAGAAUUGGAUCAAGAAAAUUUAUUCUAGUGAAACAUUGAUGUAUUGAUAAUGAUAUAUUUAUGGCUGUGAAAAAUUGAUCAAUCGUUUCUAUUCACUUUCAACUUUUCUUCAUUCUCUAUUCGAUUUAUUAUUUUCUUAUGUUUGAUAUUUUUCAUUUCUUUUUUUUCUCUUCUUUUUUCUCUUCUAGAAAUACUUUCGGAACCUUGAUUAUAUUUCCUUGGGCAAUGAGUUAAACUUUUCAUGAAUAAUCAUAUCAGAUUCAGCAUUUUGGCAACAAAACAAAAACUAAUAUCAAUAAUGGCAGCUACUCUGUCAACUUUUCAACUCACCUAUUCUUUCACACCAAAUAUUACUCUGUCUCUCCUUUCACCAUUUUCAACCUCAUGUUCAUUCAAAUUACCCAAAGUAUGUUUCCAGCUUCACAGAAAUCACCUUUUUUUCAGUGUUCACCUCCAGGCUAACACUAGAGUUUGUUGUUUCUCACAUUUCAUUUAAAUUCAUGUAAAUAUUCACAUUGGAUUGUCACUUUGUUACUAAAUAUCAUGGGCAUCAUUAGCCUGAAACUAAUGAUUUUACACUUUUCCACCUUUUCUCCCUGUAACAUGUAUACAUGAAGAUAUUAAACAGAGUCAAAUUUUAUUCCCUCUUAGUGAAAA